rnacentral:rRNA from 14 species
UACGGCGGUCAUAGCGAAGGGGAAACGCCCGGUCCCAUACCGAACCCGGAAGCUAAGCCCUUCAGCGCCGAUGGUACUGCCCUGAAGACGGGGUGGGAGAGUAGGACGCCGCCGGAC